rnacentral:lncRNA from 1 species
AGCUCUUUGGCAUAAUAUAUUCCUGAAAAAUAUGGGUUACCACAAUACAAUUUAAGUGCCCAAUGUAAAACUAGUACUGUCUUAGCUAACUAGUUUCCUCUGCUUCUUUUAUCUAAUUUCUAUCGAGUAUUUAAUGCAUGCAUUAAUAGAGUCAAGAGCAAUUUAUGAAAGAUAAUAAAGUAUUUCAUAGCAAUGAUGCAAACGAAAUGUAAAUUUUGAAUUUGCAAAAUGAUUCAGUUAAAGCAGGAAAGAAAAUUAAAGGUGAGUUAGUAUAGAGAAAGCAAUAACAAGACAAAAAACUUAGACUAGUAAUUGAUGGUCCAGAAAUAAAGAGGCAGUUAGUUUUAUUUUUAAAAUAAGUUUAGAUCAAAGAAAACUGAAUUGCAGGCUAUCCAUUGGGAGAGAUGAAUAAAUGUAUUAUAUGGAAUAACAGAAGAGACCAUAUUUUUACCAUAUAAAUAUUUAAAAAGAAAAGAAACACGUUACUCAUUUAUUACAUUAAAGUGACAAAUAUAUAACUGAGCAAAAGAAAUUACAGCUACAUAUAAGCAUUGUGGCUUCUCAUUAGAGUCUACGGAAUGUUAACAUUGAAAAAUUGGAAAUAAAAAUCAUUAUCAAAAAUAAUGUAAUAAAAUUUUUAAAAUGUAUGAUUUAUAUCAUACAACCUUUAUAAAACAUGUACUUACUCAUUUUUAUUAAACCUAAAUAGAAAUACAAAUAAGUCGCAUUUAACUUACUGAUAAAAAGCUAUGGUUAUUCCCAUGUCACUAUAGUUAUAGGAAUUUCAAGUUUUGUUGCUCAUUGGAUAGUGCACACAGGGCCAGACUUGAUACUAUCAGUAUUUCCGAUUAAUUUCUGGAUUUUUGCCCAUUGUGGAGAGAUGAAAGUGACAGUUUGGCCAAUCUAGAACCUUGCAAGCUGACAAGAUUUGUCAAUUGUAGUCACAACUUUCAGUUUCAAUUUAAUUUCCUGGCUGAAUAUAGAGAAUAUUCUCAAUGAUCCUAAGAUGAGAGGACGUUGGAGGCAGUCACGUCAUGAUGCCCCUCUGGCCUGGAUCACAAGGAGACGAGGCAAAGCGAGCAUGGGAGAGGUGGCAGGGGCCGUCUUUCAUCGACAUUCAGACAUGUCAUCCUGAGUUUUAUAAUUAUUCUGAAUUAAAUAAUCUUCAAAAUGAGACAAAUCUGGAGGGUAUAAAUGUAGUCCUUUUCAUUACUUUAUGUUACAUAAAAUUUGGUGGUGUCCUUUACUCCUUUUUUUGAAAUCAAAUACUACAUAGGUUCCAUUUCCCCUUUCUACAGAGGGCAACUUUUUGAAAACAGUGGUUAGCAAUUAGUUAUUCAAGAAUUUCAGGAGAUGACUCCUUAAGAUAGAAACUAUAUAGCUAUUUCUGGGCCCCACGAGGAACAAAUAUCAAGCCCAGAAUUCUUUUAGUAACAGAGGCUCCGAUUUUCCAUAAGGAAUUCAUGAUCAAACUCUCUCUUCCUUUCAAUUUUUCUCUUGAGAAAGAACACCAGGGCUAGGCCUACUUGUAUUCUAAGAUAGAACCAGAAAAGAAAAUGAAAUAAUAAAUACAACUGCUCUGCACUUUUUUUAAAAGAGCUAUUUUCAUCAAUUUUUAGUAUACACAAAACACCUGAAUUUAACCCUAAACUUUCUAUGGCUCAGUCAAGAUCAAAUUCAGAAGAUGCACUUUGAAUCCAUGAUAAAGUCACUCUCAGAGGCGGGGGGAUUAUGCAGGGUGGGUUGUCCAGGUGCUCACACUCUACUUUUACGAAGACCAUCACACACCGUCUACAUGCAGCCCCUG